rnacentral:rRNA from 1 species
GUCCACGCCGUAAACGAUGGAUACUUGUUGUUGGAGGUAUUGACCCCUUCAGUGACGAAGCUAACGCGUUAAGUAUCCCGCCUGGGGAGUACGGCCGCAAGGUUAAAACUCAAAGAAAUUGACGGGGGCCCGCACAAGCGGUGGAGCAUGUGGUUCAAUUCGAUGCAACGCGCAGAACCUUACCUAGGUUUGACAUGGACUGGAAGACUACCAGAAAUGGUGUCGCUCGCAAGAGCCGGUUCACAGGUGCUGCAUGGCUGUCGU